rnacentral:rRNA from 1 species
UGAAGCUGGAGCUUGCUCCGGUGGAUUAGUGGCGAACGGGUGAGUAACACGUGAGCAAUCUGCCCUUGACUCUGGGAUAACUGCGGGAAACUGUAGCUAAUACCGGAUACGACCCUUGGAGGCAUCUCUGGGGGUGGAAAGAAUUUCGGUCAAGGAUGAGCUCGCGGCCUAUCAGCUAGUUGGUGAGGUAAUGGCUCACCAAGGCGACGACGGGUAGCCGGCCUGAGAGGGUGACCGGCCACACUGGAACUGAGACACGGUCCAGACUCCUACGGGAGGCAGCAGUGGGGAAUAUUGCGCAAUGGGCGAAAGCCUGAUGCAGCAACGCCGCGUGAGGGAUGAAGGCCUUCGGGUUGUAAACCUCUUUUAGCAGGGAAGAAGCGAAAGUGACGGUACCUGCAGAAAAAGCACCGGCUAACUACGUGCCAGCAGCCGCGGUAAUACGUAGGGUGCAAGCGUUGUCCGGAAUUAUUGGGCGUAAAGAGCUCGUAGGCGGUUUGUCGCGUCUGCUGUGAAAAUCCGAGGCUCAACCUCGGACCUGCAGUGGGUACGGGCAAACUAGAGUGCGGUAGGGGAGAUGGGAAUUCCUGGUGUAGCGGUGGAAUGCGCAGAUAUCAGGAGGAACACCGAUGGCGAAGGCACAUCUCUGGGCCGUAACUGACGCUGAGGAGCGAAAGCGUGGGGAGCGAACAGGAUUAGA